AACACAUGCAAGUCGAACGAAAAGACGGAAAGAGCUUUGCUCUUUUCAGAAUUGAGUGGCGGACGGGUGAGUAACGCGUGGAUAACCUGCCUCACACAGGGGGACAACAGUUGGAAACGACUGCUAAUACCGCAUAACACAAGUAAUUCGCAUGAAUAACUUGCCAAAGAUUAUAUCGGUGUGAGAUGGAUCCGCGUCUGAUUAGCCAGUUGGCGGGGUAACGGCCCACCAAAGCGACGAUCAGUAGCCGACCUGAGAGGGUGACCGGCCACAUUGGGACUGAGACACGGCCCAAACUCCUACGGGAGGCAGCAGUGGGGAAUAUUGCACAAUGGGCGCAAGCCUGAUGCAGCGACGCCGCGUGAAGGAUGAAGUAUUUCGGUAUGUAAACUUCUAUCAGCAGGGAAGAAAAUGACGGUACCUGACUAAGAAGCCCCGGCUAACUACGUG
rnacentral:rRNA from 1 species